UUCUAUGGCCAUGCCACCCUAAACGUGCCCGAUCUCGUCUGACCUCGGAAGCUAAGCAGGAUUGGGCCUGGUUAGUACUUGGAUGGGAGACCACCUAGGAAUACCAGGUGCUGUAGGCA
rnacentral:rRNA from 1 species